AUCUUUGCGGACUCAUAAGAACAAUGAUUAGAUAGAUGCCCACACCGUUUUGUGACUUUCCUCUCUCACACCUUGUUUUGAUGUCAGCAUAUUACCCAUCUGACA